rnacentral:tRNA from 1 species
GCUAACGUAGUUUACUUAAAACGUAACACUGAAGAUGUUAAAAUGGGGCCUAGAAAUUCCCGCAAGCA